rnacentral:misc_RNA from 1 species
UAAAAGGAUCAGCAUGUCGGUUGACAGCAGCAUAGUUCUGCAGUUCCGACUUCAAGUGCUCAAUCUUUCUCCCAGCCAAUGAAUUGCUAAAGAUUCGUUGAAGCUUUUCAACGUUGAUUUACAGUUUGUUGUCCUGUGGAUCCAGAAAGAAACAUCUUGUGAACCGUUCCGUCUCUGGCGAGAGGGUAGUGAAGAACUACUUGUUAGCAUUGCUUUUUGCGGUGCCGUGGACAGCUCGCCAACCCCUUCUAAACAUAUAUUUAUUUUUUUAUGCCUGACAUUUAUUGUAUAAAUAUACAAAA